AUGCCGUCCAUCAUGGUGAUCGGCCAGGUGCUGCUCCUCGACAUCCUCACCUUCGUCCUCGUCAUCGGCACCGAGCGCCGCCGGAGCACGGCCGAGACUGGUGGCAUGCGGUACUGCGUGUACGACGCGGAUGCGUCCACCUGGUACGGCGUCGGCACGCUCGCCCUGCUGCUGGUCGGACAGACCAUCGCCAUGGUGGCCAGCCAGUGCUUCUGCUACGGCCGCGCGCUCUCCCCCGAUCGCUGGCGCUUCUUCUCCGGCCUCUUCUUCAUCCCCUGCUGACAGCUUGUGCAAUAUGUUCUGAAGGGUGUUCUCCCAAUAUGA
rnacentral:rRNA from 1 species